UACAUGGGGUGCAAACGUUGCUCGGAAUUACUGGGCGUAAAGGGCGCGUAGGCGGUCAGCACAAGUCAGUUGUGAAAUCUCCGGGCUUAACUCGGAAAGGUCAACUGAUACUGUGCGACUAGAGUGCGGAAGGGGCAACUGGAAUUCUCGGUGUAGCGGUGAAAUGCGUAGAUAUCGAGAGGAACACCUGCGGCGAAGGCGGGUUGCUGGGCCGACACUGACGCUGAUGCGCGAAAGCCAGGGGAGCGAGCGGG
rnacentral:rRNA from 1 species